AUUGAACGCUGGCGGCAUGCCUUACACAUGCAAGUCGAACGGUAACAGGUCUUCGGAUGCUGACGAGUGGCGAACGGGUGAGUAAUACAUCGGAACGUGCCCGAGAGUGGGGGAUAACGAAGCGAAAGCUUUGCUAAUACCGCAUACGAUCUCAGGAUGAAAGCAGGGGACCGCAAGGCCUUGCGCUCACGGAGCGGCCGAUGGCAGAUUAGGUAGUUGGUGGGAUAAAAGCUUACCAAGCCGACGAUCUGUAGCUGGUCUGAGAGGACGACCAGCCACACUGGGACUGAGGCACGGCCCAGACUCCGACGGGAGGCAGCAGUGGGGAAUUUUGGACAAUGGGCGCAAGCCUGAUCCAGCCAUGCCGCGUGCAGGAUGAAGGCCUUCGGGUUGUAAACUGCUUUUGUACGGAACGAAAAGACUCCUUCUAAUAAAGGGGGUCCAUGACGGUACCGUAAGAAUAAGCACCGGCUAACUACGUGCCAGCAGCCGCCGUAAGAC
rnacentral:rRNA from 1 species